GGAGCAGCCGGUCCCGUCGCUCCGGCCGGAUCUUCCGGCCGGGGAGGAAAGUCCGGGCAGCACAGGGUGCCGCACUGUCGAAAGACAGGUGUCUGCGAAGGCACGGCAGCAAAGAAGAAAAGAACCGCCCGUCCCGGUUCACCCCGGGUGGACCGGGUCGGGUAAGGGUGAGAAGGUGGGGUAAGAGCCCACCAGUGCGGUGGGUGACCAUCGCAGCUGUUUGCCCUGCGGGCUGAAAGGCCAUGUAUACCGGCGCAAAAAAAGCGACCCGCUUCUGCCGGGGGGUAGGCCGAUCAGAUCAAUGGCGGGAAUCCUGGUAACACAGGAUACAGAACCUGGCUUAUACGGCUGCUCUUUUU
rnacentral:RNase_P_RNA from 1 species